AUGGCGCAGCCGCCUCCUCCCCUUCUGCCCUGCUCUCCACCGCGCCGUCUCUUCCUCCCCUUCACUGUUCUCUGCAGCGGCGGCAAAGAUCUGGCGGCAAAGGGAGACGACGAGGGCGCUCGAUCCGAUCUGCUGAAGAGAAAAGAUGAGAGGGAGAGAGAUCACCGGAAGGAGUGCCGCCGGCUCGUCGUCUUUCAUACCUACGCACGCAGCUGCCAGCUGCAGGGGUGUUGCGAGGAGUUAGAGGUUGUGCGCCGGCCGGAGCAGCAGGAGCAAGGAUAUGGCCGCCUCUCUUCUCUGCCACGGUUCCCUCCUCUUCCUUCAGCUCUCGAGAUGUCGACCUGCAGGCAAACCAUUGUUUGA
rnacentral:rRNA from 1 species